GAUGAACGCUGGCGGCGUGCCUAAUACAUGCAAGUCGAGCGAACAGACGAGGAGCUUGCUCCUCUGACGUUAGCGGCGGACGGGUGAGUAACACGUGGAUAACCUACCUAUAAGACUGGGAUAACUUCGGGAAACCGGAGCUAAUACCGGAUAACAUGUUGAACCGCAUGGUUCAACAGUGAAAGACGGUUUUGCUGUCACUUAUAGAUGGAUCCGCGUCGCAUUAGCUAGUUGGUAAGGUAACGGCUUACCAAGGCAACGAUGCGUAGCCGACCUGAGAGGGUGAUCGGCCACACUGGAACUGAGACACGGUCCAGACUCCUACGGGAGGCAGCAGUAGGGAAUCUUCCGCAAUGGGCGAAAGCCUGACGGAGCAACGCCGCGUGAGUGAAGAAGGUCUUCGGAUCGUAAAAAUCUGUUAUUAGGGAAGAACAAAUGUGUAAGUAACGAUGCACGUCUUGACGGUACCUAAUCAGAAAGACACGGAUAACUACGUG
rnacentral:rRNA from 1 species